rnacentral:rRNA from 1 species
CUUGCGCAAUGGGCGAAAGCCUGACGCAGCAACGCCGCGUGGGGGAUGAAGGCCUUCGGGUUGUAAACCCCUUUCAGGAGGGAAGAAAUUGACGGUACCUCCAAAAGAAGCCCCGGCCAACUACGUGCCAGCAGCCGCGGUAAUACGGUAGGGGGCGAGCGUUGUCCGGAAUCAUUGGGCGUAAAGAGCUCGUAGGCGGUUCAGUAAGUCGGCUGUGAAAAGUCCGAGGCUCAACCUCGGAACUGCAGUCGAAACUAUUGUGACUCGAGUCCGGUAGAGGAGAAUGGAAUUCCCGGUGUAGCGGUGAAAUGCGCAGAUAUCGGGAGGAACACCAGUAGCGAAGGCGGUUCUCUGGGCCGGUACUGACGCUGAGGAGCGAAAGCGUGGGGAGCAAACAGGAUUAGAUACCCUGGUAGUCCACGCUGUAAACUUUGGACACUAGGUGUGGCGGUCUGAUCAACGACUGCCGUGCCGAAGCUAACGCAUUAAGUGUCCCGCCUGGGGAGUACGGCCGCAAGGACUA